rnacentral:rRNA from 1 species
GACGAACGCUGGCGGCGUGCUUAACACAUGCAAGUCGAGCGGUAAGGCUCCUUCGGGAGUACACGAGCGGCGAACGGGUGAGUAACACGUGAGCAAUCUGCCCUUCUCAUCGGAAUAACCAUUGGAAACGAUGGCUAAUGCCGAAUACGACUUCCUUUCGCAUGUCAGGAAGUGGAAAGCUCCGGCGGAGAAGGAUGAGCUCGCGGCCUAUCAGCUUGUCGGUGAGGUAAUGGCUCACCAAGGCGACGACGGGUAGCCGGCCUGAGAGGGUGACCGGCCACAGUGGGACUGGGACACGGCCCAGACUCCUACGGGAGGAAGCAGUGGGGAAUAUUGGACAAUGGGCGAAAGCCUGAUCCAGCAACGCCGCGUGAGGGAUGACGGCCUUCGGGUUGUAAACCUCUUUCAGCAGGGACGAAGCGAAAGUGACGGUACCUGCAGAAGAAGGACCGGCCAACUACGUGCCAGCAGCCGCCGUAA